rnacentral:rRNA from 1 species
AUUGAACGCUGGCGGCAUGCCUUACACAUGCAAGUCGAACAGUACAGGGUGCAACCUCUCGAGCGUGGCGAACGGGUGAGUAAAGCAUCGGAACGUGCUCAGUAGUGGGGGAUAUCCCGGCCAAAAGCGGAUUAAUAUCGCAAGAGACCGCCGGGUGAAAGGGGGGGAUCGCAAGGCCUCUCGCUAUUGUGGAGGCCGAUGCCAGUAUCGGUAGUAGGUGGGGUAACGGCCUACCAAGUCGACGAUGUGUCACUGGCCUGACAGGGCGAUCAGCGCACAUGGGACUGAGACACGGCCCAGACUCCUACGGGAGGCAGCAGGGGGGAAUUUUGGACAAUGGGCGAAAGCCUGAUCCAGCCAUGCCGCGGGCGGGAAGAAGGCCUUCGGGUUGUAAACCGCUUUUGUCAGGGAAGAAAUCCUGUGGGUUAAUACCUCGGGGGGAUGACGGUACCUGAAGAAUGAGCACCGGCUAACUACGUGCCAGCAGCCGCGGUAAGAC